GUGUAAUUAUCUCAAUUUUCAAAGAAUCACAAAUGAAUGAAUGCUGAAUUUGUGGGUUCAAGUCCCACAGUACACA
rnacentral:tRNA from 1 species